GACGUAGGGUCCAAGCGUUGUCCGGAUUCACUGGGCGUAAAGGGUGCGUAGGUGGUGAGGUAAGUCGGAUGUGAAAUCUCCAAGCUCAACUUGGAAACUGCAUUGGAAACUACCUUGCUAGAGGAUUUGAGGGGGGAUUGGAAUACUUGGUGUAGCAGUGAAAUGCGUAGAUAUCAAGUGGAACACCAGUGGCGAAGGCGAAUCCCUGGAAAAUACCUGACACUGAGGCACGAAAGCUAGGGGAGCAAACAGG
rnacentral:rRNA from 1 species